rnacentral:rRNA from 1 species
GAUGAACGCUGGCGGCGUGCCUAAUACAUGCAAGUCGAGCGAGCAGACGAGGAGCUUGCUCCUCUGACGUUAGCGGCGGACGGGUGAGUAACACGUGGAUAACCUACCUAUAAGACUGGGAUAACUUCGGGAAACCGGAGCUAAUACCGGAUAAUAUAUUGAACCGCAUGGUUCAAUAGUGAAAGACGGUUUUGCUGUCACUUAUAGAUGGAUCCGCGCCGCAUUAGCUAGUUGGUAAGGUAACGGCUUACCAAGGCAACGAUGAGUAGCCGACCUGAGAGGGUGAUCGGCCACACUGGAACUGAGACACGGUCCAGACUCCUACGGGAGGCAGCAGUAGGGAAUCUUCCGCAAUGGGCGAAAGCCUGACGGAGCAACGCCGCGUGAGUGAUGAAGGUCUUCGGAUCGUAAAACUCUGUUAUUAGGGAAGAACAAAUGUGUAAGUAACUAUGCACGUCUUGACGGUACCUAAUCAGAAAGCCACGGCUAACUACGUG